UACAGAGGUCUCAAGCGUUGUUCGGAUUCAUUGGGCGUAAAGGGUGCGUAGGUGGCGCCGUAAGUCAGGUGUGAAAUCUCGGAGCUCAACUCCGAAACUGCACUUGAUACUGCGGUGCUCGAGUACUGGAGAGGAGAUUGGAAUUUACGGUGUAGCAGUGAAAUGCGUAGAUAUCGUAAGGAAGACCAGUGGCGAAGGCGAAUCUCUGGACAGUUACUGACACUGAGGCACGAAGGCCAGGGGAGCAAACGGG
rnacentral:rRNA from 1 species